CAAUGAGGCCGCUGCUGUGAACACGCUUCGUUUUAUUUAUUUGCCUUCUUAUUCUUCCCACCUUUCCUGCGAAGUAACAGAAGUCGGUGUUUUGGGUGCAGACCAAGGGACUCCGGAAAUCCAAGUGCUUCACGCCGAGACAAGUCCAUGUGAGGACGCAGCGUCAGCAAACUCUUCGCAUUGUGCACGAGAGAACUUGCUUUGAAUUCCCAUCGGAUCAAAGCUCCAACGAUUCUUUGUUCAGUUCAGGAAGGUCUCGCGUUCGGGCUUCGGCCCGAAAUUUGCGUCUGAAGGGACGCCGCUCGGGAGUUCCGGUAAGUGACUUAAACUCUCGUAGCCCUCAAACACCUAUCGUAAUUAAUCUUUCUAGGUCUU
ensembl:lncRNA